GAGGCGAUCACUCAACAGAACACACAUCCUGAAGGAACACACUUAGCCUAGAGGAGACCUGAGCUCAAAUCCUGAAAGCAUACAGAAUGGGGACUGUGGACUCAGUACCAUGCCAACUGUUCGACUCUAGGGUAUGUUUGGGAUGACCGAAUACAAAACACAAAGAAUAUGAUGUGUGGAACUUCGAUUCUGGAGGAUGAGGAACACUCCACAGCAGGGGAGCCACUCGUCAGAGCAGCUGAAAAUGAGACACAUAUUGAUGAAAUAAUGUCAUGGAUUUACUUGAAAAGAAUCCUGUAUUUGGAGGGUGUGAAGAAUGAGGGAUACAGACAGAACAAGUUUGAGCACUUGUUGAUGACUUCUGAGGCUGGGUGAUCAAGAUCUGCCAGACUUUGGAGACAUGGAGUCAAAUAAGACUGUCCCUGUCCUCUCAAGAAACUAUCGAAUGGUAAAGACGAGCCAUGAAAACAGGAGAAGCAGCAGUGAAUCCAAAAGGAGAAUGUGAGAAGGACCUCCCCAAAACAAUACUUCUAGAACAACUUGAAGGCCUCUAAAACCUGAACUCAAGCCUCUGUUUCUAAGAUAAACUGUAGCCAUUCCAUUCAUCAUCCCAAAUACCAGUAAAAUUGUCACUGCUCUCCCAAAAUGUUAUGCAUUUUUACUCCUCAGGGCUUUUGUUUAUAUUUCAGGUAAUGGUACUUUAGAGCUAGAUGUAGGCAGAUCACAUACUAUCGGGGUAAGUCAGCAAAUUAGUUAACUCCCUUUGGCCACAGUUUUUUCUU